UUAUAAUUUUUCUGUUUUAUACUAGGGGAUAGAUUUGACUUCUUUCCAUAAUGAUCUCUAUUUUUUGCAGGGCAUGAAUAUUAAUUUAUUUUGACCUGUUAUGGAAAGAGAAUUACAAGCCACUAGUACUGAAACCUGAAAAGGGAGUCAUGAAGAUCCAAAGACUGGCAAGUUUUAGUAUCAGAUCAUACAUAAUGUGCUGCAUGAGCAAGCUACAGCUGGUGAUUCGAGGGGCUUGUACGUACUGGAUCAUUUUGUACUGAAACCCAAUAACUAGCAGUAACAUUUCGUCAGUCAGGUCUGCUUCUAGUAGCCCCUGGAUCAAUAAAUUCGGAUUUCUCUGCAGAAUGUGGCAAUUUAUGUGUGGUAAAUGGCUAAAUGCUGUGUCCUUUUUAACGUUCAUUCAGAAGCUGUUACACUUAAAAAGUUCCAUCAAUCAUGAUGCUGAAGUCAGCUGUAAUGGCGUGAGAAGAAGGUUUUUUUUACAGGACAUGUAGGAAUGAUUUCCAGACAAAGCUUAAAUGGGAGGGAAGGAAAGGAAAGAGGCUGAAGCCUGAAGGGCCCUGCUGCACCGAACAAGAGCAAGGACAAGAUCAAGAUUUGAAGUCCUGGCAUACGCCAGCAAUUAACUUCCCAAAGCAUACCCGGACAAGCAAGUAAUUUUGUUCAGCGUCUCUUAAACGUCCGCAGUAACGCAAACUUUAGUUAGAUUAACGCAAGCUUUAGUUAGAUUGCCACAUCGGUUCCUUCUUUUUAGGUUUGUCCUAUUUGCUGUCGAAGGUAGCUUGAACUAUGAAGGCUCAGGGAGCAAGGGGCACUCUCAGACCGGCAGUAACCGGCUGAAAACCAACCAAAUUCAAUUUUUCAUUUAAAUUUCAGUACACCUGUUUAAAGGUAUG